rnacentral:misc_RNA from 1 species
UCCGAGUUGACCCCGGCAGUCUCCUAUGAGUCCCCACCAUCCCGAAGGACGUGCUGGCAACAUAGGACGAGGGUUGCGCUCGUUGCGGGACUUAACCCAACAUCUCACGACACGAGCUGACGACAACCAUGCACCACCUGUACAGGGCCCUUGCGGACCCGACAUCUCUGCCGGAUUUCCCUGUAUGUCAAGCCUUGGUAAGGUUCUUCGCGUUGCGUCGAAUUAAUCCGCAUGCUCCGCCGCUUGUGCGGGCCCCCGUCAAUUCCUUUGAGUUUUAGCCUUGCGGCCGUGCUCCCCAGGCGGGGUGCUUAAUGCGUUAGCUUCGGCACGGAAGGGGUCGAUAUCCCCCCACACCUAGCACCCAUCGUU